rnacentral:rRNA from 1 species
CUUUACACAUGCAAGUCGAACGGCAGCGCGGGGGCAACCCUGGCGGCGAGUGGCGAACGGGUGAGUAAUAUAUCGGAACGUACCCAGGAGUGGGGGAUAACGUAGCGAAAGUUACGCUAAUACCGCAUACGUCCUACGGGAGAAAGUGGGGGAUCGCAAGACCUCAUGCUCAUGGAGCGGCCGAUAUCUGAUUAGCUAGUUGGUAGGGUAAAGGCCUACCAAGGCAUCGAUCAGUAGCUGGUCUGAGAGGACGACCAGCCACACUGGAACUGAGACACGGUCCAGACUCCUACGGGAGGCAGCAGUGGGGAAUUUUGGACAAUGGGCGCAAGCCUGAUCCAGCAAUGCCGCGUGAGUGAAGAAGGUCUUCGGGUUGUAAAGCUCUUUUGUCAGGGAAGAAACGGGUUUGGCUAAUAUCCAGAUCUAAUAACGGUACCUGAAGAAUAAGCACCGGCUAACUACGUGCCAGCAGCCGCGGUAAUACGUAGGGUGCAAGCGUUAAUCGGAAUUACUGGGCGUAAAGCGCGCGUAGGUGGUUCGUUAAGUUGGAUGUGAAAUCCCCGGGCUCAACCUGGGAACUGCAUUCAAAACUGACGAGCUAGAGUAAGGUAGAGGGUGGUGGAAUUUCCUGUGUAGCGGUGAAAUGCGUAGAUAUAGGAAGGAACACCAGUGGCGAAGGCGACCACCUGGACUGAUACUGACACUGAGGUGCGAAAGCGU